rnacentral:rRNA from 1 species
GAUGAACGCUGGCGGCAUGCCUAAUACAUGCAAGUCGAGCGAACAGACGAGGAGCUUGCUCCUCUGACGUUAGCGGCGGACGGGUGAGUAACACGUGGAUAACCUACCUAUAAGACUGGGAUAACUUCGGGAAACCGGAGCUAAUACCGGAUAAUAUAUUGAACCGCAUGGUUCAAUAGUGAAAGACGGUUUUGCUGUCACUUAUAGAUGGAUCCGCGCCGCAUUAGCUAGUUGGUAAGGUAACGGCUUACCAAGGCGACGAUGGGUAGCCGACCUGAAAGCGAGAUCGUGCACGCGGGAACUGAGACACGGUCCAGACUCCUACGGGAGGCAGCAGUAGGGAAUCUUCCGUUAUGGGCGAAAGCCUGACGGCGCAACGCCGCGUGAGUGAUGAAGGUCUUCGGAUCGUAAAACUCUGUUAUUAGGGAAGAACAAAUGUGUAAGUAACUAUGCACGUCUUGACGGUACCUAAUCAGAAAGCCACGGCUAACUACGUG